CUCUUCCCGGCAUGGGUUUCUGCCCAGCUCACCCGCUGUCAGCUGGGGUCCUGCUCUGGUGGGAGGAAGAGGCUCAGACGCUUCCCUGCCCUCUCGCCUCAACCACCUCGAGGCAGCGGCUCCCAGGAUGUGCACUUUGACGACUAAAGCUGAGCCGGCGCCGCCACGACCUUGGGCGGGUGGUCGGCCUCUGCCCUGAGCAGGAAGUAGAAAGUCUCAGCAGACCCUUCCUGAGGGCCGAGCAACAGUGUAGUGGCGUAUUCCACAUAGCAAACAGGUGAAUUCCUUGGAAGAUGAGGGCCAAGUCUUAUUCUUCUCAGUCUCUUCUGCAUCUAGCAGAAGAAUAAUGGUUGCACAGAAAAUCUUGGUUCAGUGGUUGAGUGAAUGAAUGGAUGAACAGGCUCUUGCACACAAAGAAGAGACAUGAUGUAUUUGCAUCCUUCCCUGCUUCAGCCAGUUUUCUGAAGCUCAGAGGGACACCUUGUAUUGCUGGAUGAUAAAAACAGGAGCAAAGUGAUGAAGUGCUGACAAGGCAACAAUAGAACAUGAGAGAUUCACUGCUGUGUAGGAAGAGAUCUUCGGUGACCAUGUAGCCUGAAGCUCUCAUUUUGUCAUCGAGGGACACCAAAACUCAGAACAGAUAGAGUCUUGCUCUGUGACCCAGGCUUGUGUGCAGCGGUACGAUAUUGGCUCACUGCGACCUCCACCUCCCAGGUUCAAGCAAUUCUCCUGCCUCAGCCUCCCAAGUAGCUGGGAUUACAGAUGAGGUCUCCAAGGGACCAGAUGGAGAACAGAUGCAACCACACUGAAGUCAGAAUCGCAGCUUGCCUCCGACACCUGACGCUUCACUGUUGGCGAGGCCCACUAUGCCUCGCUCUCCCCCUGUAAUGAGUUCUAUCCCAGAGGCUCCUAUACCCUUUAGAAAUAAACUGCUCAGGCAGCCCAACCAGUUCAUCCAAGAGGCCUGGAACCACAGCAGCGUCGACAGCUGAGAUGAGAGUUGGUCCCUGAUCUGAUACAGAGCCUGGGUUUAGCUUUGAUUUCUCUCUUCCUAGGCAAGAUCUUUAGAGAAUAACUUUUUGUGCCUGGCCAUCUCCUGCUCUUUUCUCAACCCAAAAGGGCUAUGUUCACCUAAAGAGGAAAAGCAAGAAGGCUUCCUGGGCUCGGGAGGUCAGGGCUGGAAAGAACUGCUCACCAUUUCUGAGCCGAUGAGGACUCACCUGGGCUCCUCACUGGUCAGGGAACUGUGGCCCAGCCGCAGAGUGAUUGCUUUGUCAAGAAGGGAAACAUUUACCUUUCCUUCUUCCCUCUGCUCUCUCCUAAUUAACAAUUAAAUGGAAGGAGUUGAAAAGACAUGUCAGAGACUUCAAUCUCCUCCCGGCCUGAGGAUGAAGGGGGCUCGAACCUGAAUGUUCUCUUCGCUGUGGCCAGAACCUAGGGGGCUGGGGUUGCUGCCAGCUCGACUGGAGGCCUGCUUCCAGCCCCAGGCUGUGGUGAGGGGCCUCACAGAUUUCACAAACAGGAGGGCGGCUGACCAAGCGCCAAACUAUUUAGACAAACACACACCCUCCCUUCCCGCCAGAGUUUGGGCUGAUUUCUCCCAAUGCUAAUGAACAGCUCAUAAGUAUUAAUAGACUCCUUGGCACCUAGGAGUCAGGCAGAGUAACUUCCAGUGUGAAUUUUGGCCAAGGACCCUGAUGCAGCCUCAGGAUCUUCCAAGCCCCUGUUGAGUCCAGGGGGCAUGAGACACACAGGGAGGCUGGGGCUGCUCCCAGGAAGCAGGCUCACAAGAGCCAGACAGGCUCCCACAGACAGCUUUUAGGUCACAGAAACCUCUGCCUGCCAGGUAGGCAUGAACACAGAAACCCUCCCAAAUCCUCAGACUGUGGAGCACACUCCAGGUGAGCCAGGAUCAAUCCCUGGUCUCAGAGAACACUUAGAUGGGGGUGAAAAGCAGGAACUGAGAGCUUCCCACCCAGCACCUGUCCCUGCUACCAGCUAAACCUGUGUCGGUCAGUGCAGGAAUUGUACAGGUGAUGCUCUGAGCCUGUGCUGAGGCCAUGUAUGGACUGAGGAAACCUCACUGUGUGUAUGUAAAGUUAAUUCAAACCUAUUUCCCUGAGUGCUUACAUAUUUUCAUAAGGAAAGUUCUGUUAGGAGAGCUGCCUGAAACAACACCUCUGCCUGUGCUCCCACUUUCUCCCGCUGGUGUGGGGAGGAGAGGCUGACAUCGCUGGGUCCACGUUCCUCUGCCCUGGGUGGGGUAUUAAUGCUGCCAUUCCCACGCUGCCUGCUGUUUCCCCUCAUCCUCAGGAGGGCUGGUCUCUGUGCUGCAGGCAGCUCCACCAGGCCUGGGAGCAUGACACCGUCUGCCAAUGCCUUGCCCAGGUCCACUGGCCUCACCCUUCCGCAGGCCUGCGCCUUCUGUGACUCUCUGCCUCAGCAAUUUCUCUGGAUUUCUUUGUCCUCAGGAAUGUGCUGGGGCCACAGGCAGGUCAGGCCAGGCUUUCUGGGGAGUGAAUGCUCUCUGCCAGUGGCGGAUGGAACUGGUAGACACGUCCCCCGGAUUCCUCGCCUGCAAGUGGGAUGGUGCCAGGAAAGUUCUACACCAUCCUUCCCAGGUCCCAGGAGGACAAGCACAGUUGUCCACAAGUGUGGAUCAGUGUUAAAAGUGCUUCAUGGAGAAAUGGAGGCCUGAAAGCGACUCUGAAGGAGGAGUGGGGCUCAGCAAACAGCAGACGAGUUUCAAUCCAAGCACCCAUUACCCCCCUAACACACGGCAUACGUGCAUCUCAUCUCCUCCUGUGUCGCUAAGAAGCUACCCAUAUGUCUGUCAUUAAUUCUCCAGAAUCCUUGGACACACCCCUCUGCAGAGCUUUCUAACAGGAAAUACAAGUCUCAGAUUUUUUUUUAAGUUAAAAUUGAGUGCAGCACUCAUACCUUUCUUCGAGCAUGAACCGUCAAUCAACACUGCCUCAUGAGCUACUGCUCUCCUGCUCUUUGAAAAGACAAAUCCUUAUUUCUUUGUAGUGAUCCAGAAGGCAGUGGGAAGAAUGACAGGUGCUUGGUUAUCUUCAAUUUAAUCUCUACCUUUCAAUGGGGCUAGUGCAAGCUAGGGCCAUUUUACUGCACCCAAAGGAAUUUAAGACAUUUCUAUUAUCUCUAAAGAAUCCAGAUUAACAUGCCUUCUUGGUGGGCAGGGAGACCAGCUAUGAAUUCUAGGAUCUCAAUUCAAAUGCUUUUGAAUUCUUCCUGCUUGUUCAGUUAAUUACAUAUAUGUCACCACAAUCUUGCUUUUUUUUUUCUAUGCUUCUAAUUUUCUCUGAAACUAUAACAUUAUUUUAGGGGUUAAUAAAUUUGUAAUUGGAAAAAA
rnacentral:lncRNA from 1 species